ACUUACAUAGGCCACAGGCGUCCUUCCGUUCUCCCGAAGGAGAGGAGACACUGAGGCCUCCCCAGUCGGAUCUUAGAAGCCCAGGCAUAAUUAGGCCUACAUCAAACUUCCCUGGUGGCACAGUGGGUAAGAAGCCACAUGCUGAAGCAGGGGACAUGAGAUUGAUCCCUGGUCCUGGCGGAUCCCCCAGGCCAUGCAGCAGCGAAGUCCAUGUGCAGAAAUCCUGAAGCCUUCGCCCUCGCGGCUGCGCUCCGCAGCAGGAGAUGCCACCCCAGUGAAAAGCCCACAUGCAGCAUCUGGACAAACACCAGUGUGCAGCAACCAAGACCCGGCACAGCCAAGAAUAAAUAAGCAACAAAAUGGUCCACAUCAAAAGAAACAACAACAACUAAGUCUCUGUCACAGUUCCAGAGUGGAUAUUGAAUUCAGGAAAUGGAGACGUGUGUAAAAAUAUCCGGGGUGAAAGCAAAGGUCUCAGAGACUGAGACAUGGGAGUGUUGAGUAGAUAGAUAUGGAGGGGAAUAUAGGGGAGACCCUUCCACUGGGGCUUUGUGUUUUCAGCACUGUGGCUGAAUGCCACACGUCCUUUUUAUUAAAGGCACAGGACAGGUACAUGCCGAGUGUGAGAGAAAGUCUAAGAUCACUUCCCCAGAGCAGAGUGACAGAUUCCCAUUAAGCAUUCAGUCUCCUCUCAGGCCUCAAAAUCGAAUUCUCUGGAGGAGUUAGGAAAAGGAUUGUCUGAAGGAUGGAUGGGAUGGAAAGUCAUUCUCUUCCUAUCUUUGUAGUUCUCGGAACAAUGGCUCUCUUCAAAUAUUGACCGUCUGUGUUUUCUGAGACUACUGUUUACUUACGAUAAACACAUUUAUUGCGACCACUUUUUCUAACUCCUGUUGUUUAAACUAGCCUCUCAGUUCAUUUUCUCAGCUGGGUGUCCUUAGCUGGUUCUGUAAUAAACUUCCUGACUCACAGUAAUAACAUGCCUCCUGCCAGAGAGAGUAUAUUUUAUGGAUGUGUUGGGAAAUUUUAAAGUUAGAAAAAUCAGUGAUUGUUGAAAUGACAUGUUGAUAAAAACUAGGGCAUGACUUGGGUUUGCUUUUAAAAGCCUCUAAAAAAUAACAGGCUGCAAAUUAAAAUGUAUAAAGUAUCGAUC
ensembl:lncRNA